rnacentral:rRNA from 1 species
UACGUAGGGUGCAAGCGUUGUCCGGAAUUAUUGGGCGUAAAGAGCUCGUAGGCGGUCUGUCGCGUCGGCUGUGAAAACCCGGAGCUCAACUCCGGGCCUGCAGUCGAUACGGGCAGACUGGAGUUCGGCAGGGGAGACUGGAAUUCCUGGUGUAGCGGUGAAAUGCGCAGAUAUCAGGAGGAACACCGGUGGCGAAGGCGGGUCUCCUGGGCCGAUGACUGACGCUGAGGAGCGAAAGCGUGGGGAGCGAACAGG